CGCACACUUCGCUCUAAUGCUCAAUUGAUUUUAACCCUUAACUUUCAUAUGGUAAUAUACGUAAAUUGUGAUAAUUUUAGACUCUAAAAUUUAGUUAAACACGUGAUUUUAGAGUCUAAAAGCAAGAAAGCAAUAACAUCUUAUCUUAAACUCAACCUCACAACACCAAUGAAUUAUCUUGAUAAAGCUAGAAAACUAGGCUUCAGAAACGAUUAAAUAUAAGUGACCAAAUAAGGUGCCAGCAGUCGCGGUUAUACCUAACCUUAAAGUCAAUUUAUUCAACUACCGAGAAAUAUCCAACUAUAAGACCCACCCCUAUCGGAUAAAAGUAAAAUUUAAACUCGUACGAAACACCUAACAGGUCUCACCACAAAUCUUUGCCUCAACAAACCACACCACAAAACAGGGAUUAGAUACCCCACUAUUGCGUGGCACAACAAUAAAUAAACACUAAAAACGAAAGUUUCAAACUUAAAGAGCGUGGCGGUAUUCUACACCUUAUUAGGGGAUCCUGUGGCUUAAUUCGAUAACCCACGAAUAUCCAAGCUUUAAUAGUACUCAGCUUAUGUAUGGCCGUUUCUAGGCCCGCACAUUAAUGUAUUAAAAGGGGGCCCCCCAAACCUAAUAGUCUAACAACACAGGUGACACAUAGCCAAUAUAAAGCAGUUCAUGGGAUACAAAUAAAUAUUAUUAACCGCAAGAAAUUGACACAUUUUCAAGCGGGAGGACUUAAAAGUAAGAUCAUAACAUUAAUUUGAUCUGAACAAGAACUAGAAUGCGUACAAAUCGCCCGUCACUCCCGUCAAUUAAAUCGGGAUAAGUCGUAACAUAGUAGGGGUAACGGAAGUUGUCCCUAUAC
rnacentral:ncRNA from 1 species